rnacentral:lncRNA from 1 species
UUCCAAGUUAGUCUUCACAUCUGGGCAUCACAAACAUGCUUGACGGAUCUAGUAUGACAUCAAAGAGCACAGGAAAAGGAUUUCAUGAUGAGCCUAAGUUAUUUCUUUUUAAUUUUUUUUCUACAAGCCUAACUAGUUUCAUAAGUUUCUGAGAUUAAGUGAACACUGAACUAAAGUUGAUCAACAUGAGCCAUGAUACAUUCUGAGCCGGGGGUAUAUCGGAAACAACCUCUCUACUUCAUCUGAGGUAGUGAUAUGUAUUGCACACACUUUACCCUCCCCAGACCCCACUUUGUGGGAAUACACUGGGUAUGUUUUUGUUGUUAUUGUACUAAGAUCAAUAACCAAGAUGGUAAAUCAGAAACAUAUUGGAAAAAAAUAAUAAAUCAAAUCAGGCUCCUGGUCUUUGCUCAGCAGGUGGCAUAGACAUAUGAGAAUUUAAGCAGCAUAGAUGCAAUCAAAUGAACCACACCAACAUGUCAUAUGUUUAAAAUUGCGAAAUCUAUUUGCCCGUUACUAAAUUCAACAUGGAUAAAUGACAAAUAUAAAUAUGUCAAUAGCCCAAUGCAAUUUAUAAUCCUAGAAAUUGCUUAAAAGUCCCAUAAACUUGGGUGAGUACAUAUCUGGAUAUCAAGUAAAACUAAGAUCCAACCGAGUAUAGAAUAUAAUCACAUCUAUAACUAGCCAUAACUUGAACAACCAAUCCAGAUUGUCUAGAGCCUUGUGAGUGUGUGUUUGUGUAUAUUAAGACACCAACAUUAUUAAUAGCAAAAGGAGAACUAUCUCACCAAGUUACUUAGCAAACAUCAAAAGAUGAAUUAUGUGAAAUGUGUAAGAGAUGAAAUCAAUAUAUAUACCGGUGUACAGCUAUUACUCUCUCUGUACUUCUCUUCCCAUUCUCUCUGGGCUUUUUCCUCAGCUUCAUAUUGCCUUGUAACUUGUGCUUGCUGAUGCAAAGCUCUUUGCCUGUUUUCAUCACUCUUAUCUGCUUGCCUUCCAGUUUCUGACACACCUGAUCCAGAAACGUGCACUUGAUCAUUCGCAUCACUGUUGCCAGCUUCGGCCGUCAAAGAUUGUUGCUCAUUGUUAGCAGAACUUGGAAGAGCCUCAGAGGCACAUUCAGCAGAAAUAUUUUGUAACUUAUCACUAGCUGAUCUGGCCACACAAACAGAAUAAGGUCCAAAAUGAGAAACGGUUAAGGUAACUUAUCUAAAAAGCAAUAUAAUGUUUAUCGUAUAUGUGUUGGUCAUAUGGAGGCGUAUAUAUAUGUAUUUACAUCAAUUUAAGUAAAACUAAAUGUUGAAUGUAUCACUUUAAGGCUGUUUUACCAAAGAGUCCAUGAGAAGUACUAACAGAACUGUUUAAACUCAUAUGAAGUAAAAUUCUAAAUGAAGCAACCUGGUAUCCCUGCGCUUUAUCCGUCGGCAUGAUUUACCACCACGUUUUGAAGAAGAAAUGUCAGUUGAUGAAAAGUUACUAGACCUCCUCCUAUUAGAAUUAGUGUAUUUUCUCCUUUCUAAAGAAUGUGAAGAACUUUAUGUUUUUGUUGUUAUUGUACUAAGAUCAAUAACCAAGAUGGUAAAUCAGAAACAUAUUGGAAAAAAAUAAUAAAUCAAAUCAGGCUCCUGGUCUUUGCUCAGCAGGUGGCAUAGACAUAUGAGAAUUUAAGCAGCAUAGAUGCAA